rnacentral:lncRNA from 1 species
AUACUAGACUGUGCGUAUCAUGUAGAUCUUCAGGAAUUUUACUGGGAUAAUUAUCCAAAUAAAUUGCAAGCAUUCUAUCCAAAUGGAGCUCUUUCUGAGAUGAAGAGAAUUCUCAAUGUCAAGAUUUGAACAAGAAGAGAAUGGAAUACACAAUAUGGACAUCCAUAAAAAUUCAUCAGAGAGCAUUUUACUACUGAGCUGCAAAGGUAGGAAAAAUAAAUUUUUUUUGGUUAGAAAAUAUACUUCUUUCAUCUGCGUUUCAAUAAUUUAUUCCCCUUGUUAGAUAUACAUGGAAUUGAUAUUGCUUAUUCUGACUAAGUGAAAAGUGUUAUUUCUACUUACUGCUCAAUUAGAAACAUGUAGUGUUUAAUUGUCAGUUUGAAUUUUUCUUUCAUACUAUUACAGUUUAUAUUUUACUAUAGGCAGAAUUUCCUCUUUAUCCUAAAUUUUGAUAUUCUCCAUAAUUUCAUCGUGCCUUGACAUUGCUGUAUAUAAUUUCUAUACAUCAGGAAGGCAAUUCUGUGUGCAUGUGUGUGUGUAUAUAUAUAGUUAGAAGUUAGAAACUGAAACUCUUUUUUGUCUACCAUCAUUUCAUAUUUUUCUUGCUAUUUCAAACCUAUAAUUUUUAAAGAAACGACUAACGUAAUCAUUCAUAGAAUAUGCUGUCAGUAACUUAACAAUAUAAAUGUUAACAUGGAGGCAUUUAGUUCAGCAUUUGCUUUACUUAAUAGAGUGCAGAAAAUGUGGCCCUUUUCUCAGUUAGGGUGUAUGUGAAGAUAAAUUUAGAAUUUCUAGACUAGUAAAUACUUCUCUGAUAAUAACUUAAUUAUAGCUAUUUCAAACCAAAUUGUUUAAUUGUGGUGAAUCAUAUGUAAAUUGUUCAGAUGUAGGUCAACACCCACGCCCACAUUCUAGCACCUCUUUCCUAAUUCAAGACAACUUUGCAGUGCCUAAAAGAGCUGAACAGUGCAGAUUAGAGACAUAAGACAAAAAAAAAAAAAAAA